AAAUCGGCUGAUGUGCCGGGAGCCACAGCUUUCGUGCGGAGACGGCGGAGGCGCAGGUGCCCGCCCACCAGGCGCCCCGGGCCCGGCGCUCUCGGCGGGCAAGCCCCCUUCUCCCCGCUGCUCCCCGUGGGCCCGAAGUCAGCCCCUGGCCGGAAGCCCCUCCCCCACCACGGUGGACUCCCGGUUUACGCCUGGGCUCGGCGCGUGUGGGAUGCUCUCUCCAUGUGGGCAGGUGGCGCGGAGCCUGGCGCCCGCAGGGGCCAGAGCUGUCUCUGGGCUGCCUUGGCCCAGACGUGGUUUCUCAGGCCAUGUGGCGGCAUCUCUCUGGAGCACACCCACUGCUCCUCUCCUUCCGGGGGCUUCUGAAAAACACACGGGCCAAGCGCCGUUGGUGAGGAUGGGACGUGGUGUAGCUGCUGGGGAAAAUGGCGCAGCGGUUCCUCGGAAAAUUCGGAACGGAAUUGCCGUGCGAGCCGGCGACCCCACCUCUCGGCGUAUCCCCCCGAGAGCAGGGACUCGGGGGCAUCUGUGCGCACCCACGUUCACAGCAGCCUUAUUCGCAACAGCCGACAGGUGGAAGCGACCCGAAUGUCCGUCAACGGAGGAGCAGGCGAACAAGCUGGCAACAUGAAGCAACAGUAAGCUCUAAACCAGAGACUCAGAACCGCAGGAUUCCGUCGUGCCCGGUGGAGCAGAGAAUGCUCACUGGGCCCAGACAGUGACCGGCCCGCCGUCCCUCGCUGGGCCCAGACUGUGGCCUGGCUGCGCUCCGCACGUGGACCAUGCUGUGCGCGGCUAACGCACCCGCUCCGUGUUUCCUUUCUGCACCACAGGCGGUUACCUGGAAAUGGGAGGAUGGUUCAUGACAAAAACUGAGCUCAUAAGGCUCAACGCCCAGUGUGGGGCUUGAACUCACGACCUCGAUGUCAAAAGUGGCAUGCUCCACCGACUGAGCCAGCCAGGAGCCCCACCCAGUAGCCUUUAUUAGAACCAAUUUCCUGAUUCUGGGGCAGCUGGGAAGGCUGUGUCCCAGACUGCGCUCGUGGACCCAAGCCAGUCUGUUCAAGAGAAACUCGGUCCUUUGUGAGAGGUGGAGACUCUAAGCGGACUCCUUCCAGAAAGCACGGGAACCCCCAGUGACGGCCUGAAGUGACUAAAACACGGCCAGGAGGCACAUCCCUGCCCCAGCCCUCCCUAGGCAAACUUUGUGUUCAAUGCACCUGAGAGUCAGGUAAAUACCGGUAGCAGGUUAAAUACGAGUUGAACUAUUAGAACCGAAAAUACAGCUGCCGAGCAGCCCAGAGAGGCUGCGGGUUCCGGGAGGGGAAGGCCCAGCACUGACUGAGCUCGCCGCCCGGCACAGGUGGUUCGCUUCUGUAGGAACCACUGAUCUGGACACCCGCCUCCCCCCUCUGUCUCUCUGCUGCUGGCCCGCAUGUUUGUCGCGCCCACGUGGGUGUCGCAUGGCGCACAGUUCCGGGGAAGGCUCCCGAACCCUCCUGAGGAGCUCCACUGAGGAGUUAUGCACAGCUCAGCCCUGGACGCAGCACGCGAACCUGAUGAGCAGAGCUGUGGACAACCCCAGCAACCUGAUGGGGGCCCCUGAGCAAGGGGCUUCGAGGCCAAGUUUGAUACUGAAAGAGAAAGCCGGCUGACAGAGGCACACGUGGCACCCGAGGAUGCCUGCAGGGUGACAUCCACCCGUCUGAGCUGCUCUGCCGUCCAGCACCCACGGGGAGGGCCAGUACGCAGGCAGGCCUCAGUUUGCCCAUCUGUAAGAUGGGGACCCAGCCGCGCUGCAGGGAGAGCAAAGGAGGCUGUGCCACCAGGGGCAGGGGCCACGUGAGCCGUCCGCAAGGGUCCUGGGGCCACCCUCCCAGCAGGUGCUCACAGUUAAGAAACACAGACUUAGACAGUAUCUCUUCCUGCUUCAAACCCUCCACGCUCCCGGGAACCUCCCCUCACUCAGCACCCACGCUCCUUCCCUCAAAGGCCACGUGAGUCUCCUGUUGCUGCUGUGACAAAUCACCGCGAGCCCAGGGCUGAAAACGACACACGGUCCCAGGGCCGAAGUCCAACCCGGCCUCACCGGGCUGCAGGUGUCCACAGGAUGGAACUCCUUCUGGAGGCUCCAGGAAAGAAUCCGGGUCCUUGUCUGUUCCGGCUCCUGGGGGCAGAGGCCUGGGGUGGGGGGCAUGGAGUCUCCACAGAAGCACGGUGAAUAGAGAAGAGUCGAGCUCUGGGCUCCUGGGGCCCUCGCUGUAGGACUUGUCGCGUCCUCCGCUCCCCAUCAGAGUGGGUCUCCGAGAGCGGCCGGGUCGGCCUGGUGCGCCAGCUCACGCGGCCUUGGAGUCCUUGCUCAUCCCUCAGAACACCGAGUGUCACCUUAUGGCCGUUAACCCAGGUGGGCUGCCUGCAGGCGGGGGGCUGGCAACAUGGGUUUUGAAACCCCAGUCCCAUCCGGCAACCACAGAGUGCUUUAAUCUGACUUUAAUUAGGUCAGAUUUAAAAAUUUUAAUGACAGGGGGUGCCUGGGGGGCUCAGUCGGUUAAGCAUCGACUUUGGCUCAGGUCAUGAUCUCACGGUUUGGGGGCUCGAGCCCCGCAUCAGGCUCUGUGCUGACAGCUCGGAGCCUGGAGCCUGCUUCGAAUUCUGUGUCUCCCUCUCUCUCUGCACCUCCCCUGCUCCUGCUCUGUCUCUGCCUCUCUCUCAAAAGUGAAUAAACAUUAAUAAAAAAAAUUUUUUUUU